rnacentral:rRNA from 1 species
CCUACGGGAGGCUGCAGUGGGGAAUAUUGGGCAAUGGGCGCAAGCCUGACCCAGCAACGCCGCGUGAAGGAAGAAGGCCCUCGGGUUGUAAACUUCUUUUUUUCGGGACGAAAAAAAUAACGGUACCGCAGGAAUAAGCCACGGCUAACUACGUGCCAGCAGUCGCGGUAAUCCGUAGGUGGCAAGCGUUAUGCGGAUUUACUGGGUGUAAGGGGUGUGUAGGCGGGAGAGCAAGUCAGACGUGAAAUUCCAGGGCUCAACCCUGGAACUGCGUUUGAAACUGUUCUUCUUGAGUGAUGGGGAGGCAGGCGGAAUUCCGGGUGUAGCGGUGAAAUGCGUAGAUAUACGGAGGAACACCAGUGGCGAAGGCGGCCUGCUGGACAUUAACUGACGCUGAGGCGCGAAAGCGUGGGGAGCAAACAGGAUUAGAUACCCUGGUAGUC